UUCUCAAUGGGGUCGAAGCAGGGGAGGGUGGCUGAGAUUAUACGGCCCUGAACUUGAUCUGGAUCAUACCAGCGAAAGGAUCAUGCUCCCCCCCCCA
rnacentral:ncRNA from 23 species